GGAAAAAAAAAAUCUCUUCCAAAAAAGCACCGGUCUGCAGAUGUCUGCAAGAGAACCCACGAACCCUCCUUCUUCUACGGCAGGGCAGAUGUCUUUUGCUAGAGAAAAUUUUCAUUUUUAUUUAUAUUCACAACGUCUCUGUGAAGAGAGGAAUGUUUCUUAAAUCUCCAGGCAAGCAAUUGGCAGGAGUACCGCUUGAAGGGAAUGAAUCAUCUGUGUUAGCUGUUCAUCUUUAAAAAUGGACUCUUCAGUAGCAUCAAUCCAAUCUUUCUUCCUGCAAUUCCUACCUAGACAGGCUCAUGAAACCUGUGGUACUGGAGAGGAAGUGAUGCUGCAAAGUUACUCAACAUGU